CCUACGGGGGGCAGCAGUGAGGAAUAUUGGUCAAUGGACGAGAGUCUGAACCAGCCAAGUAGCGUGAAGGAUGACUGCCCUAUGGGUUGUAAACUUCUUUUAUAUGGGAAUAAAAUGUUCCACGUGUGGGAUUUUGUAUGUACCAUAUGAAUAAGGAUCGGCUAACUCCGUGCCAGCAGCCGCGGUAAUACGGAGGAUCCGAGCGUUCUCCGGAUUUAUUGGGUUUAAAGGGAGCGUAGGUGGAUUGUUAAGUCAGUUGUGAAAGUUUGCGGCUCAACCGUAAAAUUGCAGUUGAAACUGGCAGUCUUGAGUACAGUAGAGGUGGGCGGAAUUCGUGGUGUAGCGGUGAAAUGCUUAGAUAUCACGAAGAACUCCGAUUGCGAAGGCAGUUCACUGGACUGCAACUGACACUGAGGCUCGAAAGUGUGGGUAUCAAACAGGAUUAGAUACCCCAGUAGUC
rnacentral:rRNA from 1 species